GUGACUCCCCCCAUGGCUUAGAGGCGCGGCGCCGGCCAGAGGAGUUUCGUUCGGCCUGAGUCCAGAGUCCUUCUGGAUCAGUGUUCUUUCCCAGGACGUGGGGAGCCCAUUCCCCCAACUCCCAUACACACAAGGUAUUAUGUAAGGUGCUUUGGGAAGUGUAUUGUACUUGUGGGUGGUGUCGCCGCACAGAUGAGGUGGUUACACUGGUCCUUGCAAUCCCUAACCUUUUCCCUGGAAUAUAGACAGUGCAUUUCUGGAUCCACUGAAACUUGAGACCAGGGACUUAUUUCCCAAGGGCCCUAUGACCGCUGUGAGAGAAAUGGGUGUCCUGCCUCAGCCUAACUUGGUUUCAGGAGUAAACUAGGGAUUAGUAAACAAUUACUUUGUAUAAAAUCGUGACUUUAAGCAGCAAAACAACACAAAACAUGUCAUUAGACACGAAGUUGAGAAACAUUUCUU
rnacentral:lncRNA from 1 species